CAGGAAUCACUAUCCACAGAAAGCCAGACAGAACUUCCAAAUGUCAGGCCUCUGAGCCCAAGCCAAGCCAAGCCAUCGCAUCCCCUGUGACUUGCACGUAUACAUCCAGAUGGCCUGAAGUAACUGAAGAUCCACAAAAGAAGUAAAAAUAGCCUUAACUGAUGAAAUUCCACCAUUGUGAUUUGUUUCUGCCCCACCCUAACUGAUCAAUGUACUUUGUAAUCUCCCCCACCCUUAAGAAGGUACUUGGUAAUCAGUCUCCCCCAC
rnacentral:lncRNA from 1 species